UUAAAUCAAGAAGACGAAUCGCACGUGCGGCGUGCAGGUGACGGCCAGCCGUGACUACUUGUCUCCAUGUUCCACGAGUGGAGUCAGCGUGCACACCCUGCACACCCUGCUGCUCCUUUCAGCUGGACGAGUAAAGGAUGCAUGACCCCGGCGGACACGGGGGUGAUUCAAGUCCUCAGAGGCUUUGGAAUGCGGAUGCGGAUCAUAUUGCGGUACCUGGCCCAACCUUCUUCCUCAUCGGGGAACAGGCAAAGUCGCUAUUGGCCGUAAAGGAACUGCAAGAACGUGCGCAGGCCCUCGAGGGAUUCCACAAUGACAUCUUUUUUGCCAUUCAUGACAUCCAGCGGAGCAUGCGCCACCCUGUGAAGCCCACGUAUCGUGGUACUUCACCCAUCGCGCGUAGCAGCCAAUCAAGUGUCAGCGAAGGUUUCUCGUCAAGGUGCCAUAAGUCAGUCUGCCCUGUCCAAAGUCUGCCCUGGGGUCUGGGCCAAGUCACAGGAGCUCACUGGAACGAACUCAAGUCGAACACGGACUAAGCCAACUAGAGUCAAAAGCUGAACGUCCGAGAAAACAACCUGCUAGUCUCUCUUUACAGCCAUAAAAGGCGAUGCUUCCACUACCCUCGAAAGUGAAAGCAGAACGGCUGACUAUAGACUGUGAUUCUGGCGAUCACCCUUCUGGUGUUCCUAACAACUCAAUAGGCCGCAUCGGCUGCGGAGGCUCCAUGUGUUGAGGAAUUAGUCUGUUAUUUCACAUUAUUAUUAUUAUUAUUAUUAUUAUUAUUACUCACAUUAUAGUCUGUUAUUCCAUGCUAUCAGAAUAUAUGCUACAAAUGCAGUUAACAAAAACUGAUAUGAUAAAAUAUAUGUGCACAGUG